rnacentral:rRNA from 1 species
GAUGAACGCUGGCGGCGUGCCUAAUACAUGCAAGUCGAGCGAACGGACGAGAAGCUUGCUUCUCUGAUGUUAGCGGCGGACGGGUGAGUAACACGUGGAUAACCUACCUAUAAGACUGGGAUAACUUCGGGAAACCGGAGCUAAUACCGGAUAAUAUUUUGAACCGCAUGGUUCAAAAGUGAAAGACGGUCUUGCUGUCACUUAUAGAUGGAUCAGCGCUGCAUUAGCUAGUUGGUAAGGUAACGGCUUACCAAGGCAACGAUGCAUAGCCGACCUGAGAGGGUGAUCGGCCACACUGGAACUGAGACACGGUCCAGACUCCUACGGGAGGCAGCAGUAGGGAAUCUUCCGCAAUGGGCGAAAGCCUGACGGAGCAACGCCGCGUGAGUGAUGAAGGUCUUCGGAUCGUAAAGCUCUGUUACUAGGGAAGAACAUAUGUGUAAGUAACUGUGCACAUCUUGACGGUACCUAAUCAGAAAGCCACGGCUAACUACGUG